rnacentral:rRNA from 1 species
UACGAAGGGGGGCUAGCGUUGUUCGGAUUUACUGGGCGUAAAGCGCACGUAGGCGGAUCGUUAAGUCGGGGGUGAAAUCCUGGAGCUCAACUCCAGAACUGCCCUUCGAUACUGGCGAUCUUGAGUCCGGAAGAGGUGAGUGGAACUCCUAGUGUAGAGGUGGAAUUCGUAGAUAUUAGGAAGAACACCAGUGGCGAAGGCGGCUCACUGGUCCGGUACUGACGCUGAGGUGCGAAAGCGUGGGGAGCAAACAGG